CCUUUCUUCCUACUCUACUCGUGCUUCUUGCUCGCAACCAGUGUCGCUGGAGACUUUGCAGGCUUGUCAGAGACGUAGAACGAAGUUUUUCACGUGGACGAGGAGGUUGGUUCUCGUCGGUUCUCCAGCCUGGAAGGGGAUGCAAGAAGGUGUGGCUGAAAAUGUUGCUCCUGCUAGACGAAAUGGAAGGAUCGGCGAGGAGGAGGUGGAAGAACUUUACUAAAAUUUGAUGAAAGGAACUUUAGGUAGAGACGACGUUUCUCAUGGAAGAAUUGGCCGAAGGUGGAGAAAUUGAGGCGAAAUUUGAUGAAACGAACGUCGAGAGGAAAAG
rnacentral:misc_RNA from 1 species